rnacentral:rRNA from 1 species
UUCCGGUUGAUCCUGCCGGACCUGACUGCUAUCGGAUUGAUACUAAGCCAUGCGAGUCUUUGUAGUAAUGCAAGGCAGACGGCUCAGUAACACGUAGUCAACCUACCCUAUGGAUGAGAAUAAUCUCGGGAAACUGAGGAUAAUACUCAAUAGAUCAUGAUGCCUGGAAUGGUUUAUGAUUAAAAUGAUUCGUCGCCAUAGGAUGGGACUGCGACCUAUCAGCUUGUUGGUGAGGUAAUGGCCCACCAAGGCGAUUACAGGUACGGGCUCUGAGAGGAGAAGCCCGGAGAUGGGUACUGAGACAAGGACCCAGGCCCUAUGGGGCGCAGCAGGCGAGAAAACUUUGCAAUGUGCGAAAGCACGACAAGGUUAAUCCGAGUGAUUUCUGCUAAAGAAAUCUUUUGUUAGUCAUAAAACCACUGACGAAUAAGGGGUGGGCAAGUUCUGGUGUCAGCCGCCGCGGUAAAACCAGCACCUCAAGUGGUCAGGAGAAUUAUUGGGCCUAAAGCAUCCGUAGCCUGUUCUCUAAGUUUUUGGUUAAAUCUAUGUGCUCAACGCAUAGGCCGCCGAAAAUACUGAGGAGCUAGGGAGUGGGAGAGGUAGACGGUACUCGAUAGGAAGGGGUAAAAUCUUUUGAUCUAUCGAUGACCACCUGUGGCGAAGGCGGUCUACCAGAACACGUUCGACGGUGAGGGAUGAAAGCUGGGGGAGCAAACCGGAUUAGAUACCCGGGUAGUCCCAGCUGUAAACGAUGCAGACUAGAUGAUGCAUUGGCAUAUAGCCAGUGCAGUAUCUCAGGGAAGCCGUUAAGUCUGCCGCCUGGGAAGUACGUACGCAAGUAUGAAACUUAAAGGAAUUGGCGGGGGAGCACCACAAGGGGUGAAGCCUGCGGUUCAAUUGGAUUCAACGCCGG